rnacentral:lncRNA from 1 species
GAUCUCUUUCUGUGCUGGCUUCUGUUGGAAAUAUCGAUAAAGUUUUGAGGUCUUUUGUUUUCUUUUUAGGGUGCCCCCUGUAUUACCUCAGGUAGCAGAAAUACUGCUUAAAGCUUUGUGCCAAAGACCAUACCAGCUUUCUGCAAGGAAAUGAAGCUUUGCUCUCUGAGGGUCCAGUUUCACAUGGCCUGGGCAACCCUAGGAGAUAAGGACCGCCACAAACCUCAUCAUAUUCUGCUCCAAGUGCAAGAUGCUGGUGCUGAGCCUGCUUUGUCUCACUAAAUCAAGAGAAGACCAUUCCCCAUGGUAGCUGGGAUCCACACUAGAGUGAACUGCUGCCUUUCAUCAGAUACACCUGCAACUGUCCCAGCCCCAUGCUUCCCACCAGUCUGGAGUAGUAUUUGGAGGAGCCUGGCAGUGUGGUCCUUCUGGUAGCUCCCAAGGAUUUUUAUGAUGUAUGGACCUCCAAAACCCUCUGGAGAACAUCGGCUGCGGAUAAAAGCAUCUGGAAGUUCCUACUGUGUUUUUAACCUUUUUUUUUCCUGGGUCACCUCGUGUCAUUUGGGAAGGAAACCUCUCUGUUCUGAGGAUUAUAGCAAACAGGUCACUUACUGGAAUACUUCCCCUUGCAUUUUCUCAAGAUGGAGCCAUUACUUUACCCCGCAGAAGGAUAUUUUUAAUUCUCCCAGAGCUUUUCAAGUACAGCAGUUCUCAUGUCCAGCAGGUCUUGGAUGA